AACGAACGCUGGCGGCAUGCCUAACACAUGCAAGUCGAACGAGACCUUCGGGUCUAGUGGCGCACGGGUGCGUAACGCGUGGGAACCUGCCCUUAGGUUCGGAAUAACUCCCCGAAAGGGGUGCUAAUACCGGAUAAUGUCUUCGGACCAAAGAUUUAUCGCCUUUGGAUGGGCCCGCGUUGGAUUAGCUAGUUGGUAGGGUAAAAGCCUACCAAGGCGACGAUCCAUAGCUGGUCUGAGAGGAUGAUCAGCCACACUGGGACUGAGACACGGCCCAGACUCCUACGGGAGGCAGUAGUGGGGAAUAUUGGACAAUGGGCGAAAGCCUGAUCCAGCAAUGCCGCGUGAGUGAUGAAGGCCUUAGGGUUGUAAAGCUCUUUUACCCGGGAUGAUAAUGACAGUACCGGGAGAAUAAGCUCCGGCUAACUCCGU
rnacentral:rRNA from 1 species